AAAAAUCAUCUUUUUGUAUGUUCUAUAUCUAUUUUUGUUCUUCAUAGUAAAAUUUCAUGACAAAUGAAUACCAGACAAGUAUGAUUUAAUGUAACUAACAAAAAUUGAAGCUAAACUUUUAUCCCUUUAUUGUCAGAGCACUUACUUUUCCCAUCAAUUCUUCUCUUUUCUAUCCACUGUAAUAUUCUAAUUUGUGAUGCUUUCCAGGGAUAUUUCCUCAAGUCAUCUACG
rnacentral:misc_RNA from 1 species